GAUGAACGCUGGCGGCGUGCUUAACACAUGCAAGUCGAACGGAAAGGCCCUGCUUUUGUGGGGUGCUCGAUUGGCGCGCGGGUGAGUAACACGUGAGUAACCUGCACUUGUCUUUGGGAUAAAUUCAGGAAACUGGGGAUAAUAUCGGAUAGGAGCUCCUGAUGCAUGGUGGGGGUUGGAAAGUUUCGGCGGUUGGGGCUGGACUAGAGGCUUAUCCGCUUGUUGGUGGGGUAGUGGCUUACGAAGCCUUUGACGGGUAGCCGGCCUUAGAGGGUUACCGGCCACAUUGGGACUGAGAGACGGCGCAGACGCCUACGGGAGGCAGCAGUGGGGAGUAUUGCACAAUAGGCGGAAGCCUGAUGCAGCGACGCCGCGUGCGGGAUGACGGGCUUCUGGUUAAAAACCGCUUUCGCCUGAGACAAGGCGUGAGUGACGGUAAUGGGUAAAGAAGCACCGGCUAACUACGUG
rnacentral:rRNA from 1 species